GUAUGCACGCGGCUUAGUUAUAAAAUCUGAGUGACGGCUAGGCCACGAAAAGUAAGAAUUCCCGAGGGGCAACGGGAAUACGAUGCGCGUUAAGGUUAAGUGGACGGCAACAGCUUCGCUAGCAACCCGCCUUCACAGAGUGCAUUGGGCCUUCAAAUAUUUUAUCACCAUAUGUACGGCUCCGCUGGUCAUCCGCUUUCACAAAGUGAAAUGACCCUGUCCUUUCUUUCUUUUUUUCAACUUGCGGAAGGGUAGUUUAGUAACAAAGGUCAAAUUGUUUUGGGGGGCUAUGUCGUUAUUAUUGCGGCCUCGGGAAACCUUAGCGUGCGUCUGCGUGCGCAUUGUUUGCUUCUUCGCCGUAAUGACAGUAAUCGAUAUGCGGAAUCUGACAAUUCCAACACAAAGAUCUUCAGGAAUACUCUCCCCAGCAAAUAAAACCCGGCGACGCACCGGCGGCGUUAGCGCAGUGGUUAAGGCGCCGCGCUGCUGUGCAGACGGUCGCAGGUUCGAAUCCGCAGCGGAGACUGCAAGAGCGCCCAUGUACACCGCGCACUGCAUGCAUGUCGAUGGUGGUAAAAAGUAAUCUAGGCAUAUUGGAUACGGCGUUCAACAUAACAAGAGCGUGUUGUGGCAUGUAAAGUCCGCUGAAUUACUUUUUUUUUUUUGAGUAAGCUUUCCGGAAGUAGGCUUUGCUUGACAACAUCCGUCCCUUCAGUUUGCAAAUGGUGUUCGAAACGCGGCGGGGGUCGGUGCGCAACCUUGCCUUCAGGGAUGCAAGCACUUAUUUUUGUGCGCGUUUUAACGGUGUUUUACGAGAACACAAAUCGACGGCAUCAGCGCAAGGCGAAACGAGCACUAGAAAAGCUGCGGGUUCCAGCCGGCGUUUGUGUAAGGGCCUGAGCGCUGCCGGCCAUGGGCGGAACCAGACGCCGACGGACAUUUCCGUGGCUCGUGGUUCGAACAAUGCAGGGACGGACAGCCGGGCCAAGCUACGUUUCCCAGCAGAAGAGGACUUCCCGUGGCUCAUGGUACGAAAACCGGGGGGACGAGCAGCCGAGCCAAGUUACGUUUCCCAGGCGACGAGAACGAAUGGCGAGAGAUGGACGUAGUCGUGUCCUGGACGCAUCCCUUGUGCAAAGACGACGCUGGCCGUUCGUGCGUCAUCACCGGCUCACUUAUGGGAGACACUACUAAUACGGGUCACCAAACUAUACGAUCUGGCCGAAAAGCGGCCCGGUGUCUUGCUGCCUACACUACGGACGUGGUAGCCAGACCUUCUAGCACGAUGGUGUCUGGCAGACUGCCAUGCUGACCUGGUGGUCAGCUGUUUGAGCAGCUUGCUGGCUUGAGCCCCACCCUGUGGAUCUACUGACCAGCUGAUCCGGCGAGCUGGAAUCGCCAUGUACGCCCUGCUAACCAGGCGACCAGCUGCUCUUGUGGCCCAUCGGCUGCGUACGUUAAGGAAUCACAGAACGUCCCGGUGGCUCUUGGUUCAAGAAACGAGCGUAUGCACAGCCGGGCCAAGCUCCGAUUCUUGUAACAGAUGAGAUAGCGUUGCUGUAUAUGGGACUACGUAGGUGAACAACUAUCAUCGAGGCGCGGAUGGCGAGGGGUUCGGAAGCAACAUCUGGGGUAAUCACAUCUAGGGCGAUCACUUUCGCCGGCAAUCACACUAGAUAUGUGCGCGUAUACGGCCAGAAAGCGUUUCUCGCUCUGUGCCAAGCUCGCUUUUCACCGUGCUCCUCACAUACGUGUGCGUUGUCUUCUCUUUCAUUGGUUCCGACAACGAACGGCGCGAGAUCGACAUGUUCCUGCACGCAUCUGUCGAACGAAGACGAUGCUGGCCUCUCGUGCGUCAUCACCAGGUCACGCGGGGGAGGCAGCACGGGUGCCGACUGCACGAGUCAAACCAGCAAGGGCCAGCAUCUGUCCAAAGAAUACCGCCCUGUAGGCGACCAUGGGCGCUUGGCCCGGGAGGCCCAGGUCGAAGAGGGUUCCAUGCCGCCACAGGAACCCCUCGACCAUGUUUUCGACUCACUGGCUGCACUCGAACAUCGCCUGUGCUGACAGGUUGCAUAGCGUCACCAGGUCGACUGCGGUGUGCAAGACGGCUAUCUACCGCACUCACCGGUUCACCUGGCUCCAGGAGCAGCGAGGCGACCAGCGUCCGCAGCGGCACCCUCAUGUCAAGCCACAUGUGCCAGUCGCGAGAAACGUAGGCGACACCGUGAUCCAGCCUUGCCGGUGGCAAGAAGGCUCCGUGUUGCCUCCAUGCAGCCGAAUACUCCACUUUGAAUAUCGAUUCUGAGCAGCGUGCUCACCGGAAGUGGGAGAGAUGAGGAUCUCCCCACCACGCACUUCGAGCGACAAAUCCUUCGAUCGGAAGCAACCUGCUCCGAGACCGCCGAAGAGCCGCUGACCCAGGCUGCAGAGGUUCAGCUGCAACGUCAGGUCGCGAACCUGCUUCAGGGCGGCCAGAUUUACCGUGACGACGACGAACGCGGCCGUUUGGACCAUUGCUGAAAAUUCUGAGGAACGCGUGGUUACGCACACACAAAAAUAAAGUCUGACAACACCGCUGGCCAUCAGGCCCGAAGACGACGACGGCGACGUAUAGCAUCCAGGACGUGCGGGGUACAUCCUGAAUAGCCUAAGGAUAGCUUGGGCCGAGUAAUCGAAAUAUAGAGCACCGAUAACACGGCGGCUUAACGAGUUAUCGAGUUGGAGAAGGCAGUGGAAAGACGGAGUGGAAUGGUGGUGGAUGGCAUGAAUAGCUUAAGGGACGGAAAACCACGUGUGACUGCAAAACGUGGCGGAGGCGUUCAUAGUAGCGUAUGCUGCUUGUGUACCGUGUUCCCCCCAAGCCACUAAGGUGUUUCGAGACCCUUUUAACGCGGUAAUGCAUAACGCACCCGCUGUAUACUGCGCAGCUUGAGACUACGAAAUUCAAGUUUGUGCACGUGAAUCAGAAGUAGCGAUAGUAAUUCGCUGUCGCGCCAAGUGUCAAUUUUGAGUAGCUUGGGAAUCGAAUUGCUAACUAUGGUGGGUGCUAAUUACCUUUGCUAACAAAUUCUAUCUUCAGCACAAAUUUGCACUCCAUAUGGCGUGAAAUGGAGAAAAUUCUGCGUACGUAGAAGCGUGCUUGAGCAUUGCAGGGUUAAAUACUCCCCGAAUAGUGUUGGUUUCAGUGUCGUUGAAUGAUGUGAACAGCAAGCUCGUCAAAGUGUUUGAAAGCUGCAGCAGAGGACGAGGAAACCUGGAUUGAGACACGUGACUUCUGCAAUAUUCACGGUGCAUCUUGAACGCAUACCACAAAUUGAGUACAUCAAAAAAAAAAAAAUUUCGAGAUGGCUUAUAACACUGCCGCCUGAACUGGCGCCCCUGUAUUGUGUUGUAAGAAAAGUUGCUCGUGACGUCAGCAUUUUGCAUAGGUUAAGCAAUCUCCGUAGAAAGAAGAGCUACUUGAAUGCUCACACCUACUUUACACUUUCUUUUUCUCUGGUGACCCGCAUUCUUUUUCUGUUGGAACGAACAGCUGAGCGCAGUACUUAGCCCCAGGCUUCCAUGAUGCUCGUCCAAAUGUCCUGCCUCGGGAAUCGAGAUUUCCGUCUCGUGAAGCUGCCGUCUUUCGACCCUUACGGUCAUGAGAGUUUACCGGACGCCGCUAAGACGACGUGAAGCUGUUUUCAUGUCCCUGCCAUCGUAAAUUUUAACGUGCGUACUUGCGAUGUACUUCCGAUUCCCAGUAGCGGUUGUUCGUUAACUGAUGUAUUUGACGUCAAUUUUUUUUUGCGACAUUCCGCAGCGCAUUUUCGACAUUGCGACAUGUUUACAGGUAGUGUACAUGUGCGCACGUGUAAACUACAGGAGAUUGGUUGGCUUAUAGCAACGUAGCCGACGUUGUGCUGCAGACUAGCCGGCGGAAAGAGCACUCCGUGUCUCCGUGCAGCCGCGUGCUCUGCAUUGAAUAUCGUUUGACCAGGAUGUCGCGCAGGAUUGAACCACCUUGCUCUGCAGCUGUCAAAGCACCUAGAACACUUCGAAACAUGACUGCUGGCGUCACUGAACCAUAGUUCGCAAUUAUUGGUGGUUUUACUACUACACGCAGAGUAUACAUACUGUUUGCCUUGCAUGGUGCUGCAAAACAACCCUGAAAUUGCAACCUACGGCAUCAUCCUCUCGAUUUCUUUUGCGUGCGUGUGUUUCGACCCGCCCAUAGGAAUGCUUUGAUUUGUGUAACAAUGUUUACGAGUUUCGAAAUAAAGUUCA